rnacentral:rRNA from 1 species
CCUACGGGAGGCAGCAGUGGGGAAUUUUGGACAAUGGGGGCAACCCUGAUCCUGCAAUGCCGCGUGCAGGAAGAAGGCCUUCGGGUUGUAAACUGCUUUUGUACGGAACGAAAAGGCUCUGGUUAAUACCUGGGGCACAUGACGGUACCGUAAGAAUAAGCACCGGCUAACUACGUGCCAGCAGCCGCGGUAAUACGUAGGGUGCAAGCGUUAAUCGGAAUUACUGGGCGUAAAGCGUGCGCAGGCGGUGCUGUAAGACAGGCGUGAAAUCCCCGGGCUUAACCUGGGAAUGGCGCUUGUGACUGCAGUGCUGGAGUGUGGCAGAGGGGGAUGGAAUUCCGCGUGUAGCAGUGAAAUGCGUAGAUAUGCGGAGGAACACCGAUGGCGAAGGCAAUCCCCUGGGCCUGCACUGACGCUCAUGCACGAAAGCGUGGGGAGCAAACAGGAUUAGAUACCCUGGUAGUCCACGCCCUAAACGAUGUCAACUGGUUGUUGGGUCUUUUCUGACUCAGUAACGAAGCUAACGCGUGAAGUUGACCGCCUGGGGAGUACGCCGCAAGGUGAAACUCAAAGGAAUUGACGG